UACGUAGGGGGCAAGCGUUUGUCCGGAUUUAUUGGGCGUAAAGAGCGUGUAGGCGGCCAGACAGGUCCGUUGUGAAAACUAGAGGCUUAACCUCUAGACGUCGAUGGAAACCGUCUGGCUAGAGUCCGGAAGAGGAGAAUGGAAUUCCUGGUGUAGCGGUGAAAUGCGCAGAUAUCAGGAAGAACACCCGUGGCUAAGGCGGUUCUCUAGUACGGUACUGACGCUGAGACGCGAAAGCGUGGGGAGCGAACAGG
rnacentral:rRNA from 1 species